AAAAGAAAAUGGAGGAUAUCACGUGUUUGAAGAAUGUUGUCUCCAACAAGAGCAGGAAAAUUAGGUCUUGUAUACAUGAUAAUAUGGAAUUGCUCUUUGAUUAUUUAGAAAAGAUUCACAUCUGUCGUGUGUGCUAUAAUGACUGAAAAAGAUACUUCUAUCUCCUCCACCCCUCUUUUAGAAUUUUUUCAAUCGCCUGAAAGAUUCGAAGAAGACUGAUGCACUGAUCAUUAUGUACAGCGCUCAACCUGUUACACAACAAGAGCGUAUCAUUACUUCGGAUAAAAGGAAAAGACAUAGACUUGUGCUAACGGCGCACUCACUUUCAAGUGCAUUCUUUAUAUUUCCUGAUAUUUUUGUUUCGUUCCUGUUCUUUUAUCUUCAGGCUCUCCCUCUUUACUUGCUCCUUAGUCCUUGUCAAAGAAUUUUUUUGAGAGCAGUUUGGAAUGAAAAUCAAUAUAUUUCUGUAAAGAGUCCAAGAUUUAGUCAAUAAAACUGUUCCUAAAAAAUCUCCUA